CAUAUCCAGGUGCCCUACGAUGUGUUUGUUUUUUGUUCUCAUACCUACUGUAGUGUACCAAACCCUGGCUUUUUGUCUUCAUUUUUGGAACAGUGACAAGGAUAUGAAUGAUGAUUCGAUUUUAGACUAUAUGACUACCCUAGCUACGCAAGCAGGGAGUAUCUUGCGGCAGUACUUUGGACAAGAGUUAACUCG
rnacentral:misc_RNA from 1 species